GGAGGGUGGGGCCCCAAGGGCCGUCCGGCGGGGGCGGGGCCUGUCAUGGCAGCCUCCAGAGUCAAUUCCAGGAACCCUGAGGAUGAACUGACCCUCUUAUUCACUAUUCCACAUCGAGCUGCAGACCCAUCAGAUGGAACCAUGUGAUCAUUGUGGCCAGAGGCUGACCCCACAGCCACCUUGUGCCUCCCUUGGACCCACCCAGGAAUUUCUGAGCCUUCUUUAUGCAGCAAGAGGAAAAUCAUGCACUACCUCCUUAGAUUCUUAUCACCGGGGUGUGUUUAACAAGCAGAGCUAAGCUGAGGCAGGGAAAGGCCCUUGGAGGAACGAUCACUGCUUCCCUCGUGAUGAGAAGACCUGGCAAAAUUAUGAAGAAUGGCCCUGACCAGGGAGAGACUUGGGAGAUGAGAACUUUUGCUAAUCAGCAAAGCUGUAUCUGAGUCCAGACUCUUGCCUCCAGCCUUUAGACUGAAGAAGCACCUGGCAGCCCCUGGGGGCCAAGGAGGCCCACCUGUCUGUUUGCUUCUCCGGGAGCUGCUCCCACACAUCGCGCAGUCUGGGCACAGCGCCAGUGCGAGCUCUGCUUUCAGGACUUUGCAUCUCUAUUUCUCUGUGAAGACUCCAAGCCUGCCCGGGUUUGGAAGCCUCUCGGCUGCCUCUUCACACUUAUCUCUGAAUGAGAGAAACCCAGCCCGGCUCCCCUGAGCAAGGCUGAAUGAGCCCCGAGAUCUAAACUGGCACGAGCUACAGCUUGAGAACCACUCGUGCUAAAAUGGAAAAGGACUUGGAGAGCGCAGCGCCUUUUCAAGAGAACGGAGAGGAAGAUUCAACAGCGGGAGGAACUGAAACAGCCACUUGGAUUACUGUCCUAGGUGAGGGUGGUCACCUGUGUCACGUGGUCACCCUUGUCACGUGGCCACAUUGACAGGAUGCAGGUUAGAAUUAAGCCCACUGCCGCCCAUCGGAUGCACAGUGAACAUCUAGAGCGUCUCCCCAGUGGUUGUCAUCUCUUGGUGGGUCAGAAUCAUUUACAAGGGUCCUUGUAUCUCAGGUAGCAGAGGAGCCUGGGUCCAGGACGCCCCUAAAGUGUGCCUUGUCCCAGGCAGAGCUGCACUGUGUCCCCGCCUGCCUGGUCUAAGAAGUAUCUGCUCCUCAGCAAAUGAAGACGACUGGAAAGCCCCGACCCUCAGAGAUGAAAGGGGCCCGAGAGAAGGGCUCCACCGACCUCCAUUUUUUGAAUGGACACGUUUCCUGAACGCGGUCACGUCUAUACAGCGGAUUUCCUGCACCAACUCGCUGUCUGGUCCUGGGAGCUAUAAUAAUGAUGCCACCGCUACUCGUACUGGGGCUGCCUUCCCGGAGGGGAAGAUCGGGCAGGGGAGGCGCUGAGGCUGCGCAGUUGGCUGCCGCACCUGAGUCCCCUCCGCAGUCCUAAGAAAGGUUUCAGGGCCCUCUUCCAAGCAGGUGGAGGUUUCUGCCUAGGGCUGUUUGUUUGAGGCUUUCUCCUGGCUUUUUUUCACCUCUUCUGAACAGCCUUCCACCCCAGGGAUGAUCCAAGCACCUACCCCAACCCCGCCCCGGGAAAACAAGCUCACUCCACGCCACAAACGGGUCCAAUCACAGGUUCUCCUUCUGCUUUAACUCUCCUCUCUCCAGUGAAACUCCCACCCCCUCGGGUGUAAGCCCUGUGUAAGAAGCUGUGUGCUGAGAGAGGAGCCCCUGCAGCUAUUCCCAUUGCCCAAAUGCUGCCUCUUAUCAACGCUAAGGAGUCUCAGGCUAGUGGAAUUGGAGGCAAUGUAACAGCCUUGCACCUGUUCUGAGACGGGGCACGUGUGUGGGGAUGUGACAUUAAACUGCUAGGGACACAGCAUCACUCCCAGGUCACCUGCCUCCGGGUCAGAGCACCUCCAACCCACAGGGUAUAAGAGCUACCCGUGGCAACUGUUAAAAUGCAGAGUCCGGGUCGCUCCCAGAGGUUCUCAUCCUGUAGGGCCUGGGUACAGCUCCCGUCUGGGUAGAGCCCCCUGAUCUGCACGUUGCACGAGCAACUCAGAUGACCCCCAAUACACAGUCCGCAGACCAGCCUGAGAACUACUGCCUCGCUCAUUACCUAUGUCUGCUUCUCAGUUUCUACCCCUUCCCGCUUCUGAAAACUGCCCCUCACAAAUGUUUUCCCGCAAAGAGCUGGGGGCAGUUGGUAGGGGAAAGGUGGCCUCCGAGGUUUUCCAUGUGGAUGAUGUAGCCAGUUACCCCGACUAAUACUGGAUACUUAAGUAUUUACAAAUGCAAUUGUCUUGAAUUUGCUUCAAUCUAAUCCGAAAGGGGAAAAAAAAAAAAAAGCUAUAAAGGACAUUGCUAGGAUACCUGAUGACAUUUGACUAUCCACUGUGGAUUAGGUAAUAUCAAGGUUGGGACUCCCCUGGUGGUCCAGUGGUUAAGACUCUGUGCUUCCAAAGCAGCGGGGGCCAGUUCCAUUCCUGGUGGGUGAAUUACGAUCCCAUAUGCUGCUGGGUGUGGACAAAAAAAAAAAGAUAAUAUCAAGGUUAAAUUCCUGGUUUUGAACAUUGUACUGUGGUUGUAUUCUUAUUGUUAGGAAAUACAUACUGAAGUAUUUAGAGAUAAAAGGACACAAUAUCUCCGACUUAUUCUCAAAUGGCUCAGAAAAAAUAGUAGUCACACAUAUGUAUACAUAUACACAUAGAGAAUAUGAUAAAGCCAAUGGGAUAAGAUGGAAAUUGUUCAGUCUGCGUAGAGUAAAUGGGAGUUCCCUGUACUAUUCUUACAACUGUUCUAUGUAUCUGAAAUUAUAUAUCAAAGUAAAAAGUUACCAAAAAAAAAAAUCCCCAGGUGAGGGGUGGGUGUGGGGAUAGAGACUCCAUUCUCUUUACUUUUAUGUAUGUUUGAAAUUUUCUAUCAUUAAAACAAUUCCCUGUACCAAG